ACCGUUGAUCGAGUAGAAUGAGGA
rnacentral:siRNA from 1 species